AGGUCGACCCGCUGAACUUAAGCAUAUCAAUAAGCGGAGGAAAAGAAAUUAACAAAGAUUCCCUUAGUAGCGGCGAGCGAAAAGGGAAAAGCCCAAAACCGAAUCCUGCAGUUUUUAACUGAGGAAAUGUGGUGUGUGGUUCGUUUUUAACGGCAUACUGUUGCUUUUUGAAGUUCACGUGAUUGUGACAUUUCCCAAAGAGGGUGUAAGGCCCGUACAGAGAGCACAGUUUGCUAAGAAAGCGUUCCUGGAGUCGGAUUGUUUGAGAAUGCAGUCCAAAUACGGUGGUAAACUCCAUCGAAGGCUAAAUACAACACGAUUCCGAUAGCGAACAAGUACCAUGAGGGAAAGUUGAAAAGAACUUUGAAGAGAGAGUUCAAUAGUGCGUGAAACCCUGUACCGGUAACGGAACAAGAGUGAAUGAGGCUUGGCAUAUUUGCUGCAUCUUGUUGUUAACACAGCGACGCAGACAUUUAACAGUCGGUCGCCUUGUUGUAUAGCUGGGUAAUGCUUUUGUGUUUUGCUAACUCCAUGAUUGGUAAGUAAGUCUACCUGUUAUUGAAAAAAAGGUAUCUUUAGAUUUUUCUGAAGAAUUAUAUUUUUUCUUUACAGCGUAGGCUGAGUACCAAAAUUGAUUUUAUCAGUUGUAAAGCUCAAAUUGCUUUUUUGAUUAGAAGCUUGCUGUAAUUAUUUAUAUUUGCUGUAAUGCUUAUAAUCAAUUGAGCUUUCUCUGUGCUAUUCAGCGGUAGUCAUGGAGCAACGGUAGCUAACUUGUUCUACCCGUCUUGAAACACGGACCAAGGAGUUUAGCUUGUGCGCAAGUCAUUAGGAAGUACGAAACCUAAAGGCGAAUUGAAAGAGAAGGCUUGACUUUUUCAGGCUGAGGUAUGAUCCGAAUUUAGCUGCGAGUUUUUCUUGCACUGGUUCGGCGCAAUACCGGCUCAUCGCAUACUCUAUUGAGCGCGGUGAAGCUAGAGCGCAAAGGCUGAGACCCGAAAGAUGGUGAACUAUGCUUGCGUAGGUUGAAGCCAGAGGAAACUCUGGUGGAAGACCGUAGCGAUUCUGACGUGCAAAUCGAUCGUCAAACGUGAGUAUAGGGGCGAAAGACUAAUCGAACCAUCUAGUAGCUGGUUCCCUCCGAAGUUUCCCUCAGGAUAGCUGGCAUUUAAGAUCUAACAGUUUUAUCCGGUAAAGCGAAUGAUUAGCAGUAUUGGGGAUGAAAUUUCCUCAACUGAUUCUCAAACUUUAAAUGGGUGAGACGCUCAACUCUCUUAAAUAUGGAGUUGGGCAUAGAAUGUGAGUGCCAAGUGGGCCAUUUUUGGUAAGCAGAACUGGCGCUGUGGGAUGAACCAAACGUCUGGUUAAGGAGCCAAACAUGACGCUCAUGAGAAACCACAAAAGGUGUUAGUUGAUUUUGACAGCAGGACGGUGGCCAUGGAAGUCGGAAUCCGAUAAGGAGUGUGUAACAACUCACCUGCCGAAUCAACUAGCCCUGAAAAUGGAUGGCGCUAGAGCGUUGGUCCUAUACCAGACCGUUACCGCGAGUUAAUGUAUGCAGUAACGAGUAGGAGGGCGCCGUGGUGAGCAUCGAAGCCUUGGCUGUGAAGCUGGGUGGAGCCGCCACGAGUGCAGAUCUUGGUGGUAGUAGCAAAUAUUCAAGUGAGAACCUUGAAGACUGAAGUGGAGAAGGGUUC
rnacentral:rRNA from 1 species